GCCUUCAUGGUGUACUGGUCAGCACGCUCGGCACGUGUUCUAGAGGUCCGUGGUUCGAGUCCCGGCGAGGGCA
rnacentral:tRNA from 1 species